CUGGAUCACCCGCGGAGCUGUCUCUGCGUCUCCCACCACCGCCAAGCCCAGCCCCUCCGCCAACUCGAGAUGUCCUCACGCCGUGGGCCCUGCGGCCUCGGGGAGAAGCGCUGCCGGGCAGCCGGCAGCUAGUGAGGGACGCCUGUCACAGCAUGGCGCGAUGAGCAGUGCGUAGGUCCGAGCCUGGGAUCUGACCCAGAGAACCCCAGGCGCCAAAGCCGAGAGGGCGAACUUGACCCCUGCAGCAGCCACCGGGCCGUCCCCCACCCCCCUUCUUGAGCGAGGAUGUCCAUCUUCUGCCCUCAGCUCAGAGCUCCUGGUUCUCGGCCUUCAGACUCCGGGCAUGACACUGGCCGACUGGGCUGGUCCCAGGCCUCAGGCCUCAGGCUGAAGGACACCACCGGCUCUGCUGGCUCUCUGGCUCUCCAGCUUGCAGAUGGCAGGUGGUGGGACGACUCAGCCUCCGGAAGUGCGUGAGCCAGUUCCUGCAGUAGAUCUCCUCUACUCCCUUCACGUGUUGGUUCUUCCGGUUCCGCUUCUCUGGAGAGCCUGACUCACGCAGCAGCGGACCCUGUCUGUGGCCCUGGCCUUUCCUGCAGCUGCUGAGUUCCGGCUGCCAGCACCUGAGACUCCGCCUGAGGGCUUCACAGUCCACUGAGCUCACAGUCCCCGGACUAGGACUUUGUCACAGGGUCGAAAUGUCUCCAAUAACGCCCCCUGGGAGCAGUUCUCACCCAAUGACUGACAGAGUGGGUGGCUAAAGACCACUGCUCCCUCUCUCCUGAUGGAGUAACUCUGAGGCAUGUGUCCAACACUGACUACCUUACCGGUGUUUCCCAGAUCCUUAACCAAAGAAGAUAUUUAAACUCAGAUCCUUGUCUCUAUUUUCUGCUUUUGAGGAAACUAAACCAAAUAUUUAACCACAAACUUUAUGCACUGUGGAUGACUAUGAUGUUUGGAUCUCUUUCUUAGCUCCAGCAACGUCCCAGAUGGACAUCCCCUUCAUUGACACUCAGCACACUUUUCAAAAUAUCUAUGUGUGAUUCUACCAAUUUUAUUUAGAAUAUAAAUCAUUACUUUUCUCCUUCUUCCUUUUGUUUAAAAUGUUGUAUUAAGUUUUCAGGAUAGAAAUAUAAAUCGUUCUAUAUAAAUAUUGCUGAAAACAUUAUUUCAAGAGAUAUGACAUUGUAUGGAAUUGAGCAUUAAAAAUCAAGAAGUAUCAAAAAGUGGAAACAAACAAAAUUAUCAGCUGAUCAAAGGAUAAACAAAGUGUGUUAUAUAUGAACAGUGGAAUCUUACACAGCCAUGAAAAGGAAUGAAAUACUGAUACAUGUUACAACACAGAUAGUCCUUGAAAAUAUGCUAAGUGAAAGAAGCCACACACAAAAGGCUACACAUUGUAUGACUCCAUUUAUAUGGAAUGUCCAGAAUAGGCAAACAAAGAGACAGAAAUAGAUUAGAUUAGUGGUUCACAGGCCUGGAGGAAGGGCAAAUGAGGCUGACUGCUAACGUAUAUGGGGUUUCUCUUGGGAUGACAAAAAUGUUCUGGAAAUAGACAGUGGUAAUGAUUGCACAACCUUGUAAAUAUAUUAAAAACCACUGAAAUCAAGAGGCAUCCUCCCAGGGAAGAUGUUUUGUGGGACAUACCUGUCCUGCCUUGCAAGGAUCUCUACUUAUUUUCUAGUGGAGUAAGUGCUAGACUUAGUUAUGAACCUUCCCACUUUUCCUCUAAGAUGCCUUUCUGCUCAAU
rnacentral:lncRNA from 1 species